rnacentral:rRNA from 1 species
GCAACCCUGGUGGCGAGUGGCUGAACGGGUGAGUAACAUAUCGGAACGUGCCCNGGAGUGGGGGAUAACUAGUCGAAAGAUUAGCUAAUACCGCAUACGAUCUACGGAUGAAAGUGGGGGAUCGCAAGACCUCAUGCUCGUGGAGCGGCCGAUAUCUGAUUAGCUAGUUGGUGGGGUAAAGGCCUACCAAGGCAUCGAUCAGUAGCUGGUCUGAGAGGACGACCAGCCACACUGGGACUGAGACACGGCCCAGACUCCUACGGGAGGCAGCAGUGGGGAAUUUUGGACAAUGGGCGCAAGCCUGAUCCAGCAAUGCCGCGUGAGUGAAGAAGGCCUUCGGGUUGUAAAGCUCUUUUGUCAGGGAAGAAACGGUGAGGGCUAAUAUCCCUUGCUAAUGACGGUACCUGAAGAAUAAGCACCGGCUAACUACGUGCCAGCAGCCGCGGUAAUACGUAGGGUGCAAGCGUUAAUCGGAAUUACUGGGCGUAAAGCGUGCGCAGGCGGUUGUGCAAGACCGAUGUGAAAUCCCCGGGCUUAACCUGGGAAUGGCAUUGGUGACUGCACGGCUAGAGUGUGUCAGAG